rnacentral:rRNA from 1 species
CCCUAUGGGGUGCAGCAGGCGCGAAACCUUUACACUGUACGAAAGUGCGAUAAGGGGACUCUAAGUGCUCAUGCAUUGCAUGGGCUUUUGCCAAGAGUAAAGUCCUUGGCGAAUAAGUGGUGGGUAAGACUGGUGCCAGCCGCCGCGGUAACACCAGCGCCACGAGUGGCAACCGCGAUUAUUGGGCCUAAAGCGUUCGUAGCCGGUCACGUAAAUCUCUUGUGAAAUUGUCCAGCUUAACUGAACAGCGUGCAGGAGACACUGCGUGACUUGGGACCGGGAGACGUAUGAGGUAUUUUUGGGGUAGUGGUAAAAUGCUAUAAUCCUGAAAGGACCACCGAUGGCGAAGGCAUCAUACGAGAACGGAUCCGACGGUGAGGAACGAAAGCUGGGGGAGCAAACCGGAUUAGAUACCCGAGUAGUCCCAGCUGUAAACUCUGUGAGCAAGGUGUUGCAUAUUCUUCGAGAAUAUGCAGUGUCGAAGCGAAGGCGUUAAGCUCACCGCCUGGGAAGUAUGGUCGCAAGGCUGAAACUUUAAGGAAUUGGCGGGGGAGCACCACAAGGGGUGCGGCGUGCGGUUUAAUCUAACUCAACGCAGAGAAUCUCACCAGCAGCGAUGGCAGGAUGAAAGUCAGUCUAAAGGGCUUACUAGACGAGCCGAGAGGUAGUGCAUGGCC